GGGGAGUACGACCGCAAGGUUGAAACUCAAAGGAAUUGACGGGGGCCCGCACAAGCGGUGGAGCAUGUGGUUUAAUUCGAAGCAACGCGAAGANCCUUACCAGGUCUUGACAUCCCGAUGCCCGCUCUAGAGAUAGAGUUUUACUUCGGUACAUCGGUGACAGGUGGUGCAUGGUUGUCGUCAGCUCGUGUCGUGAGAUGUUGGGUUNNNNNNNNNNNCGAGCGCAACCCUUAUUGUUAGUUGCCAUCAUUUAGUUGGGCACUCUAGCGAGACUGCCGGUAAUAAACCGGAGGAAGGUGGGGAUGACGUCAAAUCAUCAUGCCCCUUAUGACCUGGGCUACACACGUGCUACAAUGGCUGGUACAACGAGUCGCAAGUCGGUGACGGCAAGCUAAUCUCUUAAAGCCAGUCUCAGUUCGGAUUGUAGGCUGCAACUCGCCUACAUGAAGUCGGAAUCGCUAGUAAUCGCGGAUCAGCACGCCGCGGUGAAUACGUUCCCGGGCCU
rnacentral:rRNA from 1 species